UCUCGGCAAAUAAAAUCAAGAAAUAAAAUGAAAUCAAUUAAGUCUGAGGGUGGUACAGUAUGAAGAAUAGCAACAGGGGAAGUAAUGUAUCAUGUUUGUAUGUUUGAAUUUUUUUUUAUAAUAAUGUUUACUGUUAGGUUCACGUGUGAUCUUGCGAGGGUGUGUCAUUUUUUUA
rnacentral:ribozyme from 13 species